rnacentral:lncRNA from 1 species
CCAAUCCAGGCAAAGGCCCUGGACACAAAAUGGGAUCUUAUAAUAAUAAAUGUCUAUCUUUUGUUUUUUAAGUCUCUAGGAAACAGGAUGCCUAGCUUCUGGGAAAACUGCUCCUUUACUCCAGUGUGUUGAUGGAAAGGACCUGCCUCCUUUUGGUAUAUUAUUUUAUUCAAAGGCUUCACAUUACCAGAUGGCAUUGGAGCAGUUGCAGAGUCACCCUAAGGCACUUAAGCUCUGGGCACUCCCUUUAAAAUCUUCAACUCACCAUCAAGAACAGCACUGUGGACGUUGACUCCUGUCUGUGGAUCCAAAGCAGAGACCAUCUCUAUCCCAGAUCAACCAGAGAUGCCCCCUUUCAGAGGUAUUCUGGGAAAGUAGUGGGGGUGGGGGCAGGAGGAGAGCCUCCUGAUGAAAACAGGUCUGAUUCCCAUUUUCUUUUGUUGUUAAAUGAUUGCAGUAAUAAGAAUUAAUUUUCAAAACUUGAAGCUGAAACUUUGUGGCUGGGCAGCAAGCCAGUGCUGUGC